UCGACCUCCGCGUGUGUAACAACGUUUGUUGUUGUUUAAUCGUCACAUGGCGCAAGGUGCGGGGGACGCCAGCCGUCAAGAGGGGGCCAAACAUGGACUCGAUCGACCUGCGGAAAGAGGGUACCGUUCGUUCUUUCGGAACAGGUAGCGGUUGGUUGUGGCGCCUAGAAGGGAACUGAAAAGGGACAGAUAGAUGGUGUUAAGUGCCAGAAAUUAAUUUCAACUGGAGCAAAUUUUAAAAAUUGAGUCUGAAGAAUGUAAUAUAUCGACAUUUGAGGACUUUUGUUCAAUUUGUGCUGGAAACAACAAUUCAUCAACUAGGAGAAUGGAUGAAAUUUGGACUAUGAAGAUUUUUUUCAAAUCUGGCUAAUUUUGAAAAAGGACGAAUUUAUUACAACACUUACUUUUUCCAAAAGAGGGCGGUGUAUGUGUGAGGAGUUGAAGAGUAAAAUGUAAACUUAAGCGUUU